rnacentral:rRNA from 1 species
UACGUAGGGGGCAAGCGUUAUCCGGAAUUAUUGGGCGUAAAGAGUGCGUAGGUGGUUACUUAAGCGCGGGGUUUAAGGCAAUGGCUCAACCAUUGUUCGCCCUGCGAACUGGGUUACUUGAGUGCAGGAGAGGAAAGCGGAAUUCCUAGUGUAGCGGCGAAAUGCGUAGAUAUUAGGAGGAACACCAGUGGCGAAGGCGGCUUUCUGGACUGUUACUGACACUGAGGCACGAAAGUGUGGGGAGCAAACAGG